GGCUGCAUGAAAGUGCGGUGUAGAUGGUGAGGUGACUUUUAAUCAGCGGGUCGUAGGUUCAAGCCCUACUGCGCCCACCA
rnacentral:tRNA from 1 species